rnacentral:tRNA from 2 species
UGCCUGAUGGUGUAACGGUAGCACAACAGAUUCUGGCUCUGUUUGUCUGGGUUCGAAUCCUAGUCGGGCAGCCA